CCUGGACAUGUGGCUGCCCUCUAGAAUCUGAUUCAUUUCCAAUCUGUACUAGGAUACCAGAGAUGAUUGACUCCUUAUGUCCUGGUCCUAGGAAAAAAAUACCUUGUGUGGAGGAAAAUGAGAUCCCGAGUGAAGCCUACAAUGUCAUUGACUCUGAAGAAGGACUCAGAGACCCAUUGGUGUUUAAUGACCCUUACUGGCCUCUGCAAUGGGAACUGGUACCACAGUCACUGUAACAACAUAUGCAUAUGGAUGUAUAUUGAUGAGUAUGAUUUUCUUGCCCGUCACUACAAAAAUACCUUUCCUAGUUGAACUGUUA